AAUAGUAGAAAUUACAGACAAAGAUUCUCCCUCAAGGCAAAUGUUUUGUGAUUUCAUCUCCGAAACGGCAACAAACAUCCCACACCAAGCUGCAAUUAACUCUGCACGAUGCAUCAGGUACAGAGGAAUAGAUUAACCCCAACUUUGAUGAGAUUUCCUCCAUUGUUCUGAAUAAUAUAGCGCGUAACCAUCUUAUCCUUCAACACAGCAGCAUCGAAAUUGACCUUAAGAUAUCCAGAGGGGGAAGGUGACCAAGACACUAAUAAGUUUCAUAUACUGCCCAAGCAGGGCAAAUUUAAGUCAGCCCAAUGCCUCGACGGAUUCCAAAGAUCCAUACGACUACCGUCAUUACCAUGAAGAAUAAGGUAAAUAGGAACCUGUCUCAUUAGUUGAACUGGGGACACAGUGGUAUUCAGAAACACCCUUUCAUUUCUACCAUUCCAGAUCAACCAAGCACUAACAGAAGUCAAAGACUUGUACCUUCUCUCUACCUCAGCGGCGGACAGUAAAUCCAUCGU
rnacentral:lncRNA from 1 species